rnacentral:rRNA from 1 species
GCACAAGCGGUGGAUGAUGUGGUUUAAUUCGAUGCAACGCGAAAACCUUACCCACCUUUGACAUGGCAGGAAUCCCGAAGAGAUUUGGAGUGCUCGAAAGAGAACCUGCACACAGGUGCUGCAUGGCUGUCGUCAGCUCGUGUCGUGAGAUGUUGGGUUAAGUCCCGCAACGAGCGCAACCCUUGCCAUUAGUUGCUACGAAAGGGCACUCUAAUGGGACUGCCGGUGACGAACCGGAGGAAGGUGGGGAUGACGUCAAGUCCUCAUGGCCCUUAUAGGUGGGGCUACACACGUCAUACAAUGGCCGGUACAGAGGGUAGCCAACCCGCGAGGGGGAGCCAAUCCCACAAAGCCGGUCGUAGUCCGGAUCGCAGUCUGCAACUCGACUGCGUGAAGUCGGAAUCGCUAGUAAUCGCGGAUCGGCAUGUCGCGGUGAAUACGUUCCCGGGCCUU